GGCUUAGAAGCAGCCAUCCUUUAAAGAAAGCGUAAUAGCUCACUGGUCGAGUCGGUCUGCGCGGAAGAUGUAACGGGGCUAAACUAUGCACCGAAGCUGCGGAUUCAGAAUUUAUUCUGAGUGGUAGGGGAGCGUUCUGUAAGCGGUUGAAGGUGUACCGGGAGGUAUGCUGGACGUAUCAGAAGUGCGAAUGCUGACAUGAGUAACGAUAAUGCGGGUGAAAAACCCGCACGCCGGAAGACCAAGGUUUCCUGUCCCAUGCUAAUCAGGGCAGGGUAAGUCGGCCCCUAAGGCGAGGCAGAAAUGCGUAGUCGAUGGGAAACGGAUUAAUAUUUCCGUACUUGGUAUAUCAGUGAUGGGGGGACGGAGAAGGUUAUGCAAGCAUAGCGUUGGUUGUCUAUGUGAAAGUGUGUAGGGUUGAAUCUUAGGUAAAUCCGGGAUUCUACAUGCCUGAGACACGAGACGAGACUCUACGGAGUUGAAGUUGCAAAUACCCUGCUUCCAGGAAAAGCCUCUAAACUUAUGAUAUAUCGAACCGUACCCCAAACCGACACAGGUGGUCAGGUAGAGAAUACUAAGGCGCUUGAGAGAACUCGGGUGAAGGAACUCGGCAAAAUUGUACCGUAACUUCGGGAGAAGGUACGCCUCUGUUUGUGAACACUUUACGUGGUAAGCAAAUGGAGGCCGCAGUGACCAGGUGGCUGGGACUGUUUAUUAAAAACACAGCACUCUGCAAACUCGUAAGAGGACGUAUAGGGUGUGACACCUGCCCGGUGCCGGAAGGUUAAUUGAUGGGGUUAGUUUUCGGACGAAGCUCUUGAUCGAAGCCCCGGUAAACGGCGGCCGUAACAAUAACGGUCCUAAGGUAGCGAAAUUCCUUGUCGGGUAAGUUCCGACCUGCACGAAUGGUGUAACCAUGGCCACGCUGUCUCCACCCGAGACUCAGUGAAAUUGAAAUCGCAGUGAAGAUGCUGUGUACCCGCACCUAGACGGAAAGACCCCGUGAACCUUUACUACAGCUUGGCACUGAACAUUGAACCUACAUGUGUAGGAUAGGUGGGAGGCUUUGAAGCACAGUCGCUAGAUUGUGUGGAGCCGUCCUUGAAAUACCACCCUUGUAUGUUUGAUGUUCUAACAUUGGCCCCUUAUCGGGGUUGUGGACAGUGUCUGGUGGGUAGUUUGACUGGGGCGGUCUCCUCCCAAAUAGUAACGGAGGAGCACGAAGGUUAGCUAAUCACGGUCGGACAUCGUGAGGUUAGUGCAAUGGCAUAAGCUAGCUUAACUGCGAGACAGACACGUCGAGCAGGUACGAAAGUAGGUCAUAG
rnacentral:rRNA from 1 species